UACGUAGGGUGCGAGCGUUAAUCGGAAUUACUGGGCGUAAAGCGUGCGCAGGCGGUUUUUCAAGUCUGAUGUGAAAGCCCCGGGCUUAACCUGGGAAUGGCAUUUUGAACUGGCAGUCUAGAGUGUGUCAGAGGGGGGUGGAAUUCCACGUGUAGCAGUGAAAUGCGUAGAUAUGUGGAGGAACGCCAAUGGCGAAGGCAGCCCCCUGGGAUAACACUGACGCUCAUGUACGAAAGCGUGGGUAGCAAACAGG
rnacentral:rRNA from 1 species